CCUACGGGAGGCAGCAGUCGAGAAUCAUUCACAAUGGGGGAAACCCUGAUGGUGCGACGCCGCGUGGGGGAAUGAAGGUCUUCGGAUGGUAAACCCCUGUCAUGUGGGAGCAAAUUAAAAAGAUAGUACCACAAUAGGAAGAGACUGCUAACUCUGUGCCAGCAGCCGCGGUAAUACAGAGGGCUCAAGCGUUGUUCGGAAUCACUGGGCGUAAAGCGUGCGUAGGCUGUUUCGUAAGUCGUGUGUGAAAUGCGCGGGCUCAACCCGCGGACGGCACAUGAUACUGCGAGACUAGAGUAAUGGAGGGGGAAGCGGAAUUCUAGGUGUAGCAGUGAAAUGCGUAGAUAUCGAGAGGAACACUCGUGGCGAAGGCGGGUUCCUGGACAUUAACUGACGCUGAGGCACGAAGGCCAGGGGAGCGAAAGGGAUUAGAUACCCGUGUAGUC
rnacentral:rRNA from 1 species